GACAGAGGGUGCAAGCGUUGUUCGGAAUCAUUGGGCGUAAAGGGCGCGUAGGCGGUUUUGUAAGUCGAAUGUGAAAGCCCAGGGCUCAACCUUGGAAGUGCAUCCGAAACUGCGAAACUUGAAUCCUGGAGAGGGUGGUGGAAUUCCCAGUGUAGAGGUGAAAUUCGUAGAUAUUGGGAAGAACACCGGUGGCGAAGGCGGCGACCUGGUCCUUUACUGACGCUGAGGCGCGAAAGCGUGGGGAGCAAACAGG
rnacentral:rRNA from 1 species